GGCAAUAUGUCAGUAAUCUAUACUAUACUAAAAGGGGGAUAUCCUCCCCUCUAAACCUAUCCACGUCAGUUAAUAUAUUCAGCCAAUCAGAGAGUAUUAUUAUGCUACGUCAUACGAAGUUUUAAGUCAACUAAUAUAAAAUCGGGCCAGGCGUUUGGGCCAUUAAUAAUAUCCAGUGCCAAUAUGAAGCCCACCUCAGCAAUACCAAAUCUCCAAUGAAAGUUAUUAAUUUAUUAUCGUGGCUGACUCUUCUUCUUCUUAGCUGUGUGAACGCUCACGGUCUAACUCCUCCUCUCAAUUGAUGAUUUUGAGAAACGUCUGCAAUUAUGACAUUCAAGGAGAGGGAUCGCCGUUGAUAGUAUCAACGGUGGAGAGAACGAAGACGAACCGGAGAAGAAAAGUGAAGAAGAGCAGAGAUUAAAACAUCAUCUGAUACGAGAAUCUUCUAGAACCCUACCUUCUUUUUUAUGAACUCUCUCAAUCCUUUCCCCGUGACUACCGUCACAUGUCUUAAGCUCGGAGAUAUAUGCAGCUGCAUCUCUCUGUUUAUGUCUUUGUUUUCCUCUUUCUUCUCUUAUCUGAAUGUGGGUUUCUUUGAAAGGAGAUGGAUGUCCGAAGAGGAAAUAUUGAUCUUACGUUGUUAUGUAUUGUUUGAUUAUUCAAAAGGGUCUAUGUCAUUCACCUAACCUUGCUUUGUGUUUAGGUUACUAAUGGCAGAUCGUAUCUGAUUUCCCGUUGUUCAUUUUGUCUCAGGUGAUUUGGCAAGGAAGAGCCCAAGAUUCACGGUUAACAGAUGAGAGCUAAGAAACAGAGGAUGUCGACCAUUGACACCAGAAGAGAUUGAUUCAUUCCUUUUACCUCCAGGUUUCUCCUAGAUGUCACAUUAUACUUUACCGGAUCUUUUGCUCUCGAUGCAGCAAUAGUAGUUGGUGGCCUUCCCAGGAUUUGGGUGUUGUAGGGUCUUGAAGAAAACAACACGGGCUGAAGCAUUAAGCAUAGAAACAAGGGGGACCUGUGUGUUUGUACAUGCUGAGCAUUCUAUUGACUCGCCACUUGCUAGGGUAAUCUGUAUAAACACAGAAAAUAUACUUCUAUCACAGCCUAAUUGGCGCGAACAAGCCCUUAGUCGUGCGGAUACUUCAAUCCGAAGUGGUUCGGUUGAUGUUAUUGUUGCUGACACUGUAAUUUAGGAGCACUUGAGUAUAAGAUGGGUGAUGCUCAUAUGAUUAUCCAAGCCGGUAAGUUUCAUUGACACCCUAAAUAUUCGAUCCCUUUUUUUUCCAAAUGCUUAGAGUGUUUUG